UCUCCGUAGGUGAACCUGCGGAGGGAUCACUACAGGCUUGCAAAAGCUCCGAAACCACUGUUUAUCUACCUGAAUCUGCUUCGACGGCCGUCCCCAGGGCGGGGCCGUAACCGCACGGCGCCCGACGAAGACCACUAAACUCUGUCGUCUUGAGAAGCUCUGAGUAAUUAUAUUAAAAAAGAAAAACUUUCAACAACGGAUCUCUUGGCUCUG
rnacentral:misc_RNA from 1 species